rnacentral:rRNA from 1 species
CCUACGGGUGGCAGCAGUGGGGAAUAUUGGACAAUGGGGGCAACCCUGAUCCAGCCAUGCCGCGUGUGUGAAGAAGGCCCUCGGGUUGUAAAGCACUUUCAGUGAGGAAGAACGCCUGGUGGUUAAUACCCAUCAGGAAAGACAUCACUCACAGAAGAAGCACCGGCUAACUCCGUGCCAGCAGCCGCGGUAAUACGGAGGGUGCGAGCGUUAAUCGGAAUUACUGGGCGUAAAGCGCGCGUAGGUGGCUUGAUAAGCCGGUUGUGAAAGCCCCGGGCUCAACCUGGGAACGGCAUCCGGAACUGUCAAGCUAGAGUGCAGGAGAGGAAGGUAGAAUUCCCGGUGUAGCGGUGAAAUGCGUAGAGAUCGGGAGGAAUACCAGUGGCGAAGGCGGCCUUCUGGACUGACACUGACACUGAGGUGCGAAAGCGUGGGUAGCAAACAGGAUUAGAUACCCGGGUAGUC